GGGGCCCGCACAAGCGGUGGAGCAUGUGGUUUUAAUUUCGACGCAACGCGAAGAACCUUACCAGGUCUUUGACAUCCUCUGACAGCCUAAGAGAUUAGGAUUUCAUCCUUCGGGAUGACAGAGAGACAGGUGGUGCAUGGUUGUCGUCAGCUCGUGUCGUGAGAUGUUGGGUUAAGUCCCGCAACGAGCGCAACCCUUGUUCUUAGUUGCCAGCGAGUAAUGUCGGGCACUCUAAGGAUACUGCCGGUGACAAACCGGAGGAAGUGGGGAUGACGUCAAAUCAUCAUGCCCUUUAUGACCUGGGCUACACACGUGCUACAAUGGCCUAUACAAAGGGUAGCGAAGCUGUGAAGUGGAGCCAAUCCCAAAAAGUAGGUCUCAGUUCGGAUUGUAGGCUGCAACUCGCCUACAUGAAGUCGGAAUCGCUAGUAAUCGCGGAUCAGCAUGCCGCGGUGAAUACGUUCCCGGGCCUU
rnacentral:rRNA from 1 species